AUGUGGACCUGCCUUCGUCAGCACUAUGAGCCCUCUGGUGAUGCCUUAUAUCUUUCUGUGGUUCGUCAGGAGCAUGCUCUUCAGCAGGGUGACUCUACUGCUGAUGACUUUUAUGCACAGAGUUCUGCUAUCUGGCGCCAGCUUGAUUCUCUCCGCAGUGCUGGUUGUCGUACUUGCCCCUGCUGCCAGGCUGUCCAGGCCGAUUUGGAGUUUCAUCGCGUCUACAAGUUCCUGUCUCGGCUCCGUAAGGAGUUUGAGCCCCGGUGUGCUCAGUUGUUUGCUCGUGGCCGUAUUUCUCUCAUGGAGGCGCUUUCAGAGAUUCGUGCUGAGGAGACUCGCCUACGUGGUGCUGGUUUGCUGGAGGUUCCCUCUGUGCUCGCUACUCGGGUUUCUUCCACUCCAUCUGCUGCACAGCCCCAUUCUCGCUCGAGUGCUCCGCCGCUCUUGCCCACUCCUUCUGGAGGCUCAGGUCGGCCCCGUUCACAUUGUGACUACUGCAACAAUGAUGGUCAUAUUGAGUCCCAGUGCUACACAAAGCAGAAACACCUGCGCAAGGCGCGAUCAUCCUCCUCCGGGACUUCGUCA
rnacentral:rRNA from 1 species